rnacentral:rRNA from 1 species
AAUUGAACGCUGGCGGCAGGCCUAACACAUGCAAGUCGAGCGGUAAAGAGAAGCUUGCUUCUCUUGAGAGCGGCGGACGGGUGAGUAAUACCUAGGAAUCUGCCUGAUAGGGGGGGAUAACGUUCGGAAACGGACGCUAAUACCGCAUACGUCCUACGGGAGAAAGCAGGGGACCUUCGGGCCUUGCGCUAUCAAAUGAGCCUAGGUCGGAUUAGCUAGUUGGUGAGGUAAUGGCUCACCAAGGCUACAAUCCGUAACUGGUCUGAGAGGAUGAUCAGUCACACUGGAACUGAAACACGGUCCAAACUCCUACGGGAGGCAGCAGUGGGGAAUAUUGGACAAUGGGCGAAAGCCUGAUCCAGCCAUGCCGCGUGUGUGAAGAAGGUCUUCGGAUUGUAAAGCACUUUAAGUUGGGAGGAAGGGCAGUUACCUAAUACGUGAUUGUCUUGACGUUACCGACAGAAUAAGCACCGGCUAACUCUGUG